rnacentral:rRNA from 1 species
UACGGAGGGGGCUAGCGUUGUUCGGAAUUACUGGGCGUAAAGCGCACGUAGGCGGCUUUGUAAGUUAGAGGUGAAAGCCCAGGGCUUAACCCUGGAAUUGCCUUUAAGACUGCAUCGCUAGAAUCGUGGAGAGGUAAGUGGAAUUCCGAGUGUAGAGGUGAAAUCGUAGAUAUUCGCAAGAACACCAGUGGCGAAGGCGGCUCACUGGCCCGAUACUGACGCUGAGGCACGAAAGCGUGGGGAGCAAACAGG